AUUGAACGCUGGCGGUAGGCCUAACACAUGCAAGUCGAACGAGUGGCGGACGGGUGAGUGUUGUCUGGGAAACUGCCCGAUGGCGGGGGAUCACUACUGGAAACGUUAGCUAAUACAGCAUACCAUCGGAUGUGCCCAGAUGGGAUUAGCUUGUAGGUGGGGUAACGGCUCACAUAGGCGACGAUCCCUAGCUGGUCUGAGAGGAUGACCGGCGACACUGGAGAUGUGACACGGUCGAGAUCCCUCCGGUAGGCAGCAGGGGGAAAUAUAGCACAAUGGGGGCAAGCCUGAUGGAGCCAUGCCGCGUGUAUGAAGAAGGCCUUCGGGUUGUAGAGUACUUUCAGCGAGUAGUGGUUACUCGCAGAAGAAGCACCAGCUAAAUCCGUGCCAGCAGCCGCGGUAAUAG
rnacentral:rRNA from 1 species